rnacentral:rRNA from 1 species
UACGUAGGGCGCAAGCGUUAUCCGGAAUUAUUGGGCGUAAAGAGCUCGUAGGCGGUUUGUCGCGUCUGCCGUGAAAGUCCGGGGCUCAACUCCGGAUCUGCGGUGGGUACGGGCAGACUAGAGUGCGGUAGGGGUGACUGGAAUUCCUGGUGUAGCGGUGGAAUGCGCAGAUAUCAGGAGGAACACCGAUGGCGAAGGCAGCUCGCUGGGACGGUACUGACGCUGAGGCGCGAAAGCGUGGGGAGCAAACAGG